rnacentral:rRNA from 1 species
UUUGGGUGUACAGCAGCAAGACAACCUGGAUCGGGGGAGGCUAAGGCAGAGGAUUUAACUAUCCUGCUAUGCUGACCCCGAGCUGAGCUCCCUGAAGGCAACUUUGGGAUAGCCAGUGUAGAGCGCGGAAAGGUGUCGGCCUACUACCGCAAUGCGAUAGUAGGCUUGAGGUACGUGCCGUUUCACACGAAAGUGUGCUUCUUCGCAGGAGCUCCCAAAGAGUAAAUGCUUAGAAGGGUGCAGCCGAUAGGCUGUAUCAAAUGAUAGAUAUACUGUUCCAAGAUUUUAGGCUCUUGGUAGGCUGAGAGCCCUAAAUCUUGGGGCCAGUUCGUCUUAACUUAACGGCCAGCAGCCGCGGUAAUUCCAGCUCCAAUAGCGUAUAUUAAAGUUGUUGCAGUUAAAAAGCUCGUAGUUGAACCUUGGGCCUGGCUGGCCGGUCCGCCUCACCGCGUGCACUGGUCCGGCCGGGUCUUUCCUUCUGGGGAGCCGCAUGCCCUUCACUGGGUGUGCCGGGGAACCAGGACUUUUACUUUGAAAAAAUUAGAGUGUUCAAAGCAGGCCUAUGCUCGAAUACAUUAGCAUGGAAUGAUAAAACAGGACGUUGCAGUUCUAUUUUGUUGGUUUCUAGAACCGCCGUAAUGAUUAAUAGGGAUAGUCGGGGGCAUCAAGUAAGUUUUUCCCCUAAUCCUUAAUCCUGAUAGAAGGAUCGUAUACUAACCACGACCAUAGUAUUCAAUUGUCAGAGGUGAAAUUCUUGGAUUUAUUGAAGAUUAACUACUGCGAAAGCAUUUGCCAAGGAUGUUUUCAUUAAUCAGUGAACGAAAGUUAGGGGAUCGAAGACGAUCAGAUACCGUCGUAGUCUUAACCAUAAACUAUGCCGACUAGGGAUCGGGCGAUGUUAUUUUUUUGACUCGCUCGGCACCUUACGAGAAAUCAAAGUCUUUGGGUUC